UAUGUGAUCGUCUCUCGCAUAUCAAUAAGCGGAGGAAAAGAAACUAACAAGGAUUCCCCUAGUAACGGCGAGUGAAGCGGGAAGAGCUCAAAUUUGAAAUCUUAAAGGGUUUCCCUUUACGAAUUGUAGUUCAAAGAAGUGUUUUCUGUUGAGGUUUUGGUAAAAGUUCUUUGGAAUAGGACAUCAUAGAGGGUGAGAAUCCCGUAUUUGACCUUUACUUUCAACUUUGUGAUACACUUUCAAAGAGUCGGAUUGUUUGGGAAUGCAGUCCAAAAUGGGUGGUAAAUUUCAUCUAAAGCUAAAUAUUGGCGAAGAGACCGAUAGCGAACAAGUACCGUGAGGGAAAGAUGAAAAGAACUUUGAAAAGAGAGUUAAACAGUACGUGAAAUUGUCAAAAGGGAAGCGUUUGACACCAGUGUUGUUUUUCUGAAAAUCAAUUAAAGAACUGUUUAUGCUAAGCUGUUUAGACUUUAUCAGCUAAUCUGUUUAGUUUUAAGCUUUUCUUUAAUGCACUUUUCAGUUAACAAGUCAACAUCAAUUUCUUUUGCUGUAAAAAAGCUUGAGGAAGGUGGCUUGAGAUUCGUCUUAAGUGUUUAUAGCCUCUUGCCUAUGCAGUCGGAGAGAUUGAGGUCUGCAGCGUAGAUCCUUCGGGGCUAAAUGCAUUUGUGCUAAGUUAUAGCAUUUUAUAGACAACUUGUUGACUAUGAUUUGUCUUGUAGCUUACUCGCUUAUGUUAUUUUACCUACGCUUAGGAUGUUGACUGAUAUGUAGUCGUA
rnacentral:rRNA from 1 species